rnacentral:rRNA from 1 species
AUCAGUGGCGAACGGGUGAGUAACACGUGAGCAACCUGCCCCUGGCUCUGGGACAACCACUGGAAACGGUGGCUAAUACCGGAUACGACUCGCCCCGGCAUCGGGUGCGGGUGGAAAGAUUUAUCGGCUGGGGAUGGGCUCGCGGCCUAUCAGCUUGUUGGUGGGGUGAUGGCCUACCAAGGCGACGACGGGUAGCCGGCCUGAGAGGGCGACCGGCCACACUGGGACUGAGACACGGCCCAGACUCCUACGGGAGGCAGCAGUGGGGAAUAUUGCACAAUGGGCGCAAGCCUGAUGCAGCGACGCCGCGUGAGGGAUGACGGCCUUCGGGUUGUAAACCUCUUUCAGCUUUGACGAAGCCCCUCGGGGUGACGGUAGGAGCAGAAGAAGCACCGGCUAACUACGUGCCAGCAGCCGCGGUAAUACGUAGGGUGCAAGCGUUGUCCGGAAUUAUUGGGCGUAAAGAGCUCGUAGGCGGUGUGUCGCGUCUGCUGUGAAAACUCAGGGCUCA